AGCUUUUAAAGAAUUUAGAUAUCCCUUGGUUUUAGGAACCAAAACUUUUGGUGCAACUCCAAAUAAUAGCUA
rnacentral:tRNA from 1 species